AUUGAACGCUGGCGGUAUGCCUUACACAUGCAAGUCGAACGGCAGCGGACCUUCGGGUGCCGGCGAGUGGCGAACGGGUGAGUAAUAUAUCGGAACGUACCUUUCAGUGGGGGAUAACGUAGCGAAAGUUACGCUAAUACCGCAUAUUCUGUGAGCAGGAAAGCAGGGGAUCGCAAGACCUUGCGCUGAUUGAGCGGCCGAUAUCAGAUUAGCUAGUUGGUGAGGUAAAGGCUCACCAAGGCGACGAUCUGUAGCGGGUCUGAGAGGAUGAUCCGCCACACUGGAACUGAGACACGGUCCAGACUCCUACGGGAGGCAGCAGUGGGGAAUUUUGGACAAUGGGCGCAAGCCUGAUCCAGCCAUGCCGCGUGAGUGAAGAAGGCCU
rnacentral:rRNA from 1 species